AUGUAGUCCUGGAUGUCCUGAAACUUUAUCUGUAGACCAGGCUGGUGUUGAACUUAGAGAAUAACCUGUCUCUGCCUCCUGAGUGUUGGAACUAAAAGUGUGUGCCACUACAUUCGGCAAGUAAUUGAUUUCUUUAAGCGAACACAGGACUAACGGAGCCGACAAAGCCGGAAUGAGGCCCUGCACUUUCCACAUUUGAAUGUCAGACGGGCUCUGCUCCCACUCCUUUCGGCAGCACCCUUGGUUGUGUGGGUGAGGAGACGAAGACUUUCCCAGUGAGUAUGGUGGUGGAAACCUGCAUCCAAACUCCGGCUGGGAUCUAGAACUUCUUCCAUCUGCCUCUGUGACAAAAGCAGACUAGCGACAUCCCAGCAUCAUUCCUACCCUCCCAGUGACCCAAGAUGUCAUCUAUAAAGACUGUUCACUGUGCAAAGAACUCCAGGAGAGAUGGAGGCUGUCUCGAAUUGGGACCCAGUAAGUCCCUAAACUUAUUACCACAACUCACCAAGCAUUUUCUUGCUGGAAGGGUCAUGUUCUUCUGGAUCCCUGAGUCUGGAAUGUCAUUCUCUUUGCAGCCACCUCUUCCACUUCUAGUUCACAAAAACUAGCUUUUAUGUAAACUCCAAGCUGAGAGUAAGCAGUUGUGCUGCCUAGUUUUGAUGUCACCGGGGAAGAGGUAAUCUCAACUGAGAAAAUGCCUCCAUUUUUUGGUGUAAUUGGAGUUGAGGGCUCAGCUCAUUGUGGGUGUCUUGUCUGAGCAUGUGGUCCUGGAUUAUAUAAAAUACCAACCUAAGGGAGCCAUAAGUAAGCAAGGAAGCAUCGUUCCUCCGAGUCCUGUCAGGAGUCCCUGCUAGGACUUCUCGUCAUGAUGAUUGUACAUGUGCAUCAACCUUUCCUCCCUCAGCUGCUUUUGGUCAUGGUCUUCAUCACAUCAGCAGCAGCGAACUAGGACAGUGGUGUGCUUCUGCAAUUCUGCAGCCCAAGCAGCUGGGAGGACUGAUCAAGAGAAUCUCUAGUUCAAAACUAGCCUGGGCUGCAUAGCCUGACACCCUGCCUCAGAGUAAAAAAAACUUCCAUAGUG